GAUGAACGCUGGCGGCGUGCUUAACACAUGCAAGUCGAACGGAAAGGCCCAAGCUUGCUUGGGUACUCGAGUGGCGAACGGGUGAGUAACACGUGGGUGAUCUGCCCUGCACUUCGGGAUAAGCCUGGGAAACUGGGUCUAAUACCGGAUAGGACGAUGGUUUGGAUGCCAUUGUGGAAAGUUUUUUCGGUGUGGGAUGAGCUCGCGGCCUAUCAGCUUGUUGGUGGGGUAAUGGCCUACCAAGGCGUCGACGGGUAGCCGGCCUGAGAGGGUGUACGGCCACAUUGGGACUGAGAUACGGCCCAGACUCCUACGGGAGGCAGCAGUGGGGAAUAUUGCACAAUGGGCGCAAGCCUGAUGCAGCGACGCCGCGUGGGGGAUGACGGCCUUCGGGUUGUAAACUCCGUUCGCUAGGGACGAAGCGUUUUUGUGACGGUACCUGGAGAAGAAGCACCGGCUAACUACGU
rnacentral:rRNA from 1 species